rnacentral:rRNA from 1 species
GAUGAACGCUAGCUACAGGCUUAACACAUGCAAGUCGAGGGGCAGCAUGGUCUUAGCUUGCUAAGGCCGAUGGCGACCGGCGCACGGGUGAGUAACACGUAUCCAACCUGCCGUCUACUCUUGGACAGCCUUCUGAAAGGAAGAUUAAUACAAGAUGGCAUCAUGAGUCCGCAUGUUCACAUGAUUAAAGGUAUUCCGGUAGACGAUGGGGAUGCGUUCCAUUAGAUAGUAGGCGGGGUAACGGCCCACCUAGUCUUCGAUGGAUAGGGGUUCUGAGAGGAAGGUCCCCCACAUUGGAACUGAGACACGGUCCAAACUCCUACGGGAGGCAGCAGUGAGGAAUAUUGGUCAAUGGGCGAGAGCCUGAACCAGCCAAGUAGCGUGAAGGAUGACUGCCCUAUGGGUUGUAAACUUCUUUUAUAAAGGAAUAAAGUCGGGUAUGGAUACCCGUUUGCAUGUACUUUAUGAAUAAGGAUCGGCUAACUCCGUGCCAGCAGCCGCGGUAAUACGGAGGAUCCGAGCGUUAUCCGGAUUUAUUGGGUUUAAAGGGAGCGUAGAUGGAUGUUUAAGUCAGUUGUGAAAGUUUGCGGCUCAACCGUAAAAUUGCAGUUGAUACUGGAUAUCUUGAGUGCAGUUGAGGCAGGCGGAAUUCGUGGUGUAGCGGUGAAAUGCUUAGAUAUCACGAAGAACUCCGAUUGCGAAGGCAGCCUGCUAAGCUGCAACUGACAUUGAGGCUCGAAAGUGUGGGUAUCAAACAGGAUUAGAUACCCUGGUAGUCCACACGGUAAACGAUGAAUACUCGCUGUUUGCGAUAUACUGCAAGCGGCCAAGCGAAAGCGUUAAGUAUCCCACCUGGGGAGUACGCCGGCAACGGGAAACUCAAAGGAAUUGACGGGGGCCCGCACAAGCGGAGGAACAUGUGGUUUAAUUCGAUGAUACGCGAGGAACCUUACCCGGGCUUAAAUUGCAGAUGAAUUACGGUGAAAGCCGUAAGCCGCAAGGCAUCUGUGAAGGUGCUGCAUGGUUGUCGUCAGCUCAUGCCGUGAGGUGUCGGCUUAAGUGCCAUAACGAGCGCAACCCUUGUUGUCAGUUACUAACAGGUUCCGCUGAGGACUCUGACAAGACUGCCAUCGUAAGAUGUGAGGAAGGUGGGGAUGACGUCAAAUCAGCACGGCCCUUACGUCCGGGGCUACACACGUGUUACAAUGGGGGGUACAGAGGGCCGCUACCACGCGAGUGGAUGCCAAUCCCCAAAACCUCUCUCAGUUCGGACUGGAGUCUGCAACCCGACUCCACGAAGCUGGAUUCGCUAGUAAUCGCGCAUCAGCCACGGCGCGGUGAAUACGUUCCCGGGCCUUGUACACACCGCCCGUCAAGCCAUGGGAGCCGGGGGUACCUGAAGUGCGUAACCGCGAGGAGCGCCCUAGGGUAAAACUGGUGACUGGGGCUAAGUCGUAACAAGGUAGCCGU